UGAGGAGAUGAAACGGCCAGUGGAGCCCGGCCGGACCCGGGUGGGAAAAAAGGGAAAGAAGGAGGUGAUGGCGGAAUUUUCAGAUGCCGUCAUGGAGGAAACCUUGAAAAAGCAGGUGGUUGAGGCCUGGAGCUACGAAGCCAUUGUCAGGGACAUGGACCCCUUUCUUCACUGCAUGAUCCCAAACUUCAUCCAAAGACGACUUCUUGGAAGGGCUUCAGAAGGAACUUAUGAACUUAGAUUUCCAUGACAAGUAUAAUGAUUUAUGUAAGUUCCAGCAGUCUGAUGAUUUAAAGAAGAGGGCCUCACAUCUCUGCUUUAAGGAAAAUUCUGUUUGAAGAUUUCUGGUCCUGGCUUUCUGGCAUUUCUAAAAUUUACUGGAACCAACCAUCGAUGUGUCCUGUGCUAAAUAUGAAUUCACUGAUGCCCUGCUGUGCCAUGAUGAUGAGCUAGAAGGGCGCUGGAUCGCCUUUAUCCUGUACCUGGUUCUUUCCUGGGACAGGAGCCUGGAGGGUAUCCUGGACCUGUACAACAUUGAUGAACACUUUCAACCGAAGCAGAUUGUCGUCUCUUACCCCUUUAUGGAACAAACUGGUUUUCUUUGAAGUAUCUGCAGUGUCCUUUCACCAGGUGUCCAAAGUCCUGUCUGAAGUCACAUUUGUCUAUAAGUGGCUGGUUUCAUGGUCCUUCACUGACUAGGCCUCCCAACUACUUUGAACCCCCUCAUAUCUUGGAGCCCUCACACCCCACAAGAACAUGAAAUUGUUUGAUUGGAUCAACCUUACUUAUCUGGACAUGGAUUACCAAAUUCAAACUCAAGAAGAGUUUGAAGAAAGUUCUGAAAUUCUCCUAAGAAAUUUCUUAAGCCUGAGAAAUUUGCAAAGGUCUGUGAGGCCUUGGAGAAUGGAGAUGUGGAAGAGAGCAGCUGAGGUCCCCCUAAGAAAAGGUUUUCUAUGAGAAAGCUGAGGAGAGUAAGCUUCCUGAUAUAUUGAAGGAGUGCAUGAAGUUAUUUUGCUCUGAGGCACUAUUCUUGCUGCUCUCCAACUUCACAGGCCUGAAGCUUCACUUCUUGGCCCCUUCGGAAGAUGAGAUGGAUGACAAAAAAGAGGAAGCAGCAGCCUCUGCUGCUGAUAGAACUGAGGAAGGGACUGGCCAUAGCCCUCCUGAGCCAGAGAAUAAUCAGGCAGCCAUCAGCAUCAACGGCCAACAGAGCCAUGAGCAGACAGACCGAGUCAGAGGAAAAUGAAACAAAGAAUGAAUCAGGUGUUCCCACAUGCCAAAGGGAACUGAGGCGUUGGAAGACUGGUCACCACACUUUUAAUUCGUGACCAUGGCAAGGCUGAUUUUGCCCUAGACUUAAUUCUCCACUGUGGCUGUGAAGGCUGGGGGCCAGAAUAUGGUGGUUUUCUUACAUUGCCAAAGAUGAAGACGAAGAGCUGCUAACAGUGAAUCCAGAAAGCAAUUCUUUGGCAUUGGUCUACAGAGAUAGAGACUCUGAAAUUUGUCAAGCAUAUUAACCACUGAAGCCUGGAACAAAAGAAAACCUUCCCAAACACAACAGGUUUCUGGGACUUUUCAUUUAUCUAUUAUGA
rnacentral:lncRNA from 1 species